rnacentral:lncRNA from 10 species
UCCCAGGCCACAGCCAAAUGGAACCAUCUGCACCAUGAAGCUGAAGAUAAAGCCGCAGAAAGAUUGCUGUAUUGUGAGUGGAGAAGAGCCCUGCUUCUCUUCACUGGCUGAUGUGCAGACAUUUAUUAGUAAAUCUUCACGGCGGUCUAGGGAGGCCUUUGACUGAGCGCUGUUCAUCGAGUCCAGCCCCGGCUUUGCAAAUAAACAGCUGACACCAAGAGAGGAGAAGCAACACGGCUGAGGCCACAGGGUGACAAAGCCUUAACAGGUAUCAGCUCUCUGGCUGGCCAUUCACAUCCUCAUUGGUCUCUGGAUUGUUCUGGUCCAGCUUAACCUUAGCAUACAGCAAAGAAGAGAUGGGAAAGAGACAAAGGAGGGGUCCACUUUCUUGCAGAGAAAUGGAGAGACAGGAAGGGGGUCCAAGGCAGUCAAGCGCCCCUCAGAGCAAGGAGGACAAGUGCUCUGGGCAUAGGGUGGGGGGUCUGGGGGACAUAUCUGGGUGGGAGCCGAGUGGGCGUGCAAAUAAACAGCAGAGCCCCAAGAAGGGGAGAAGGCAGUCAUCUGGAAACGAGGAAGACAGCCCUCACCAGAAACUGACACUGUUGGACCUCGAUCUUGGACUUGCAGCCUCUAGAAUUGCAAGAAAAUAAAUUUAAGCUGUGGACUCUG